GCGGGUAUAGGCUCAGUGGUAGAGCAGCAGCCUUCCAAGCUGAAUAUGCGGGUUCGAUUCCCGCUACCCGCUCCA
rnacentral:tRNA from 1 species